GGGUCCUCCUGAAGUCACGCCACCCGGCUAGGGGGCGAGGAGCCUCCUACUGCCCAUCUUCCCGUCCACCACGCGCAGUUACUCACCUUUGUCUCCGGCCUGGAUUAAGGAUCCAGCCUUUCGCCUCCAUCCCUCUUGUCCCUCCUGAUCCUCCUGACCCUGUCUUUAAGAUCCCAGGAGCUGCGGUGAGGAGUGAGGCUGAGGGGCCCCUUUCAUCUGAUGCAGCGACUCCGCUUUCCUCCGGCGGCUCUGUCUAUGGCUGAGCUCUUUGAUCCUUUGAGAGAUGGUUUGACUUUUCCCGAGCAAAGAGCCUGCGUUGAAAAGCGGGGGUGGAAUUCAGUCCUCACAGAUAAUGAGGGGACAAGACCUAAUUGAACCGAGUAUUGCCGGGAAGGAAAAGGCAACGGGCCAAGCCUUUGACAGGGUGCGACACUGACUUUUAUCAUCGUUAUAGUCUUUAAAUCCUGGGAAACGAGUUGGCAACCCCAAAAUAAAGAAGUGUAAUGACGUCUGAUGACUUCACCCAAAUACAGACCAUUCCAAGAAAGACUUGCGCAGUUCUCAUGCGUGGUUGCGUUUUUGCAUAAAACUAAGAUUCCCUUUGUCCGCAUGUUUAAUAGCUUAAAAAUAAAUUGAGGUUUUUAUCGGAUAAAAGUAGCCAGGAAAAAGUGAUACAGUGAAAACGAUUACAGGAUAUUUAUAGACUUGUCUUUCAAGUUAUUAGAAGUCUCAUUCUAUCUGGGGGCAGUGAUGGUGGUGGUGGUAGUGGAACUUGUGAAUUGAGAUUCAUAGUGGAACUUGUGAAUUGAGAUUCAUCUCGAAACUGGAGGCAUGGCUGAGACUUCUAAUAAAGACAACCUCAGUCAACACUAUGUCUUGAAGUCAGUAUAUAUUUUUGACAAUCACCUCAUCUACACGUAGAUACAAUACAGGGCAAAGAUCAUGGAAGUGGAAGGUAUCACCAGGCACUCACCAAUGUAGUAAAUACUAGUACACUUACAAUUAUUUUCAGCAACGAGGUUUGAAACAAGAGGGCUUAUGUAUUUAUUGGUUGAUCUUCCCUGUGUUUUACCGGGGAAAAUUAUUUGUAAACGCAUUUAAACAAAUUAUUAUUUCUAUUUUGAGACGGAGUCUCGCUCUGUCGCCCAGGCUGGAGUGCAGUGGCUGGAUCUCGGCUCACUGCAAGCUCCGCCUCCCUGGUUCACGCCAUCCUCCUGCCUCAGUCUCCCAAGCAGCUGGGACUACAGGCGCCCGCCACCACGCCCGGCUAAUUUUUUGUAUUUUUAGUAGAGAUGGGGUUUCACCGUCUUAGCCAGGAUGGUCUCGAUCUCCUGACCUCGUGAUCCUCCCGCCUCGGCCUCCCAAAGUGCUGGGAUUACAGACGUGAGCCACCGCGCCCGGCCUAAACAAAUUAUUUUUUAAUAUUUGAUUUUGGGAGUUUUUUUAUAUUAUUUCAAGGAGUGCAAUUCAAAGAAGGAAAAAGAUAAUUUUUGUCCUUAAUUUGGUGUUUUUUCCUUCAUUUAAAAUUUAUAUAACCUACUUUACUUAUAGUACAAAUUCUUAUUUGUUUAGCUUCCUGGAAUUCAUGUAUCUAUAAAUGACCGUUGUUCUAUGCUGCUUUAUGCAGAAAAGAAAGUAGGAUUCUGAUUAUAAUGUGGGCUUUGUUUAUGGUAGUAUUUUUUUAAGAUGCAAAAUUUGAUCUUGCAAUCUUUGAGUUGAAUUUGCAGUUUUAAAAUAAAAAGGUCUUAUAUCUGUGCAAAGAAAAAAUAUUGUAUUGACAUUGCUUGUUAAAUUAAGGAGUGAGGCCUGCACAAGUAUUAGUAAUGUGAAUCCUCACAGUAGUCUCCAGAGAAAAAAAAUGACAAUGAAGUCAUGUUACCAAUAGGACAAUCACCAUUUGCCUGAGAUAGAAAUAGGCACAUUCUCUAUGUAACUACAUGCUUAAGCUGGAGCAAUUCAGAAUUAAUUGGGGUUUAGAACUAUGAAAUUAUCACUGAAAACAGAGCCAAGAUUUCAUUUUAAAAUGGCCUCCCCUGAAAGACAGUUUAACAGCUAGCAUUAAGGUUGGACGUGGUGGCUCACACCUGUAAUCCCAGCACUUUGGGAGGCUGAGGCGGGCUGAUCACUUGAGCCCAGGAUUUUGAGACCAGCCUGGGCAACAUGGUGAAAACCCAUCUCUACAAAAAAUACAAAAAUUAGCUGGACGUGGUGGCAUGUGCCUGUAGUCCCAGCUUCUCUGAAAGGAGACUGACGUGGGAGGAUUGCCUGAGCCCGGGGAGGUUGUAGCAUGUAGAGGACCUGAGAAACUGUUUUUCAUAGGUCACAACAACAUGACAAAUAAUAACACAUAGACUCAAAUGGGCCCCCUCACUUGAUUCAAAGCCCUGGAUUAUUAUACCAUCCUACCAAAUAGCAAUCAGGCACUGCCAAUUGGGCAUGCAGCUCCUUGUCUCCCUCCCUCAGAGUGCUAUGAAAGACCUAGGGCUCAUAUAUUUGUUCAGGCAAAGUGAGUGUAUCUGUGCCACUCCUGUUGCCACACACCCUUGCAGACAGCCUCGGGUGCACCUUUAUAUUUCAAAGUUGCCUCAGAUACUCCAAUCUGACCUGAUUUGACCUCAGUAAAAAACACUGGUGAAGUAGGUAUGGAACUCACCUACCUGCAACCCCUGACGAUGGUCUUAUCCAUCUCCCUUUAUAAUCUCCUCUAGACUCGCCAAUUAGCAACAGUUGUCACAAAGACAAAUGUGAAAAAGAGAGCUUUUAAAAAUUAAACUUGGACUUUUUUUCUUAUUCAAACUUCCAAGGCCCUUUGGGAACCUCCCAGAGUUUUAAUUUCCUAGGGAAAGGCCUCAUCCACAGAAAGACACGGUCUUCACAGAUUCAAUGAUUUAUCAGUGUUACACUCUGUAAUGACUCAGUCGGCUAAGCCUGUACAAUCACACAAAGAGAGGCACAGGAAACUAUGGAGUCCUCGUCUAAAUGUACAAAAAUGAUAGAGCAACUGUCAUCCACACACAGUAAGAAUGAGUGCACAUAUAUAGACUAUCCACAGACAUUCCAUUGCAAAAUGUAAUUAUGCCCUUUCUAUGGUGUCUUUGUGGUCUGACUGUGCUGCACUCUCCUAACCGGCAAUGCUGAGUCGAUCAUCUAUCUGACUUGAAACUGUCUUCAAAUUUCACACAGGACGUCUAUCGCAAUCUAUGUUUGCUGCAUGGCAAGUCUCGAUUUUCCCGUCUCUAUUAGUUGUGUUUUUGUUUUCCAUUAUAUUCAAGCAUACAUUUUUCUAAUUCCAACCAAAUUCAAUGGGAAAUAAAGAUAAACAAAAAUAAAAGGUUUAAAUUCACCUUUAAAAGUAAGGUAAACAUGCACAUUAUGAUGCCACAUGUGGGGAUUCCAAUGUCAUCAUUACUUACAAAUUUUGCUAAUGGCCCAAAUUUAAGAGUUGCUAGCCCAUAUCAAUGACUGAGAGAAUAAGACCGUUUGAAGUAUAUAGGAAUGUCAAGAGCUUUGAAAUCAGUGUUUUCCUAAGUGAGGUCUGCUUAUCAUUGAUGUACAUGAAAUAACUAUCAAUGGUACUAAGAUACAUGUUUUUGUCUUUAAUAAUUAUGUACUUAUCUUAAAUGAGUUUUGUUUUGUUUGUUUUUUGAGAUGGAGUCUCGCUCUAUCACCCAGGCUGGAGUGCUGUGGUCCGAUCUCAGCUCACUGCAACCUCUACUUCUCAGGUUCAAGUGAUUCUCGUGCCUCAGUCUCUUGAGUAGCUGGGACUACAGGCAUGUACCACUAUGCUUGGCUAACUUUUAUAUUUUUAGUAGAGAAGGGGUUUCACCAUGCUGGCCAGGCUGGUCUUGAACUCUUGACCUCAAGUGAUCUGCCCACCUUGGCCUCCCAAAAUGCUAGGAUUACAGGCAUAAGCCACUGCCUUUGGCCUCUAAUGAGUAUUUAAAAAUGUAACUAGCACAUAAAACCUGAUUUUUUGUGGGAGGGGUAUUAUUACUUAGGAUGAAGCUGAAGGAGGUGGGCACUCAGACUGGUGAACUUU
rnacentral:lncRNA from 1 species